UCGAACCUGGCUUCACUUAAGUAAAAGAUGCUUUGCAUGGGGCUGAGCACCAUUGGCGAGUGGCAACUCUCACUCUGUCCACAUAUAGUGGCUUGAACCCCAUAUCAUAUUUGCAUCAAAACUCUGUGCUAAUGUUUGUCAGAUGCCUUUAAUCGUAAAAACUAUAAGACACUAACUGCACAAUGUCCACAAAUUAGACUGACAAAAUCAGACAAUACAUGAAUGACAACAGAAAUACUUUACUGUAGCAAUGAUAAGCAGAUUAGUGCAUAGUAUGGGUGAACAUUGCAGUUGUUUCAACUUUCACAAUACGAAAACAUUAACAUGCCUUUCUACUAUGUUGAAAAUGCCAAUCAUACCGAGGCUAGUGUUACUUAAGUUCCAAAAGCCCAAGCUAUCUAGUAUGCUAAAGAUGUUCAAACCAGCAAGAAUUAUACCGCUAUCUUACAGGAAAGUCAGGUGUAAACAUAAUUAGUUAACCAUUAUAGAAGGCGGUGUUGUCGACUGGCAUCAAGUAAACCCACGGGUUAACACUUUCACCAGUUCAACCAUAGGUCCUUAGUUAAGGGACACACCGUUUGUCCUUAAAAAGGCCUUACAUAGCAUGUAGACAUAAUUGCUACUCUUUCGAGCCAAGC
rnacentral:lncRNA from 1 species